GACGAACGCUGGCGGCGUGCUUAACACAUGCAAGUCGAGCGGUAAGGCCCUUUCGGGGGUACACGAGCGGCGAACGGGUGAGUAACACGUGGGUGACCUGCCCUCAGCUCUGGGAUAAGCCUGGGAAACUGGGUCUAAUACUGGAUAUGACUCCACGGUGCAUGUCGUGGGGUGGAAAGCCUUGUGCGGCUGAGGAUGGGGCCCGCGGCCUAUCAGCUUGUUGGGGGGUGAUGGCCUACCAAGGCGACGACGGGUAGCCGGCCUGAGAGGGCGACCGGCCACACUGGGACUGAGACACGGCCCAGACUCCUACGGGAGGCAGCAGUGGGGAAUCUUGCGCAAUGGGCGAAAGCCUGACGCAGCGACGCCGCGUGAGGGAUGACGGCCUGGU
rnacentral:rRNA from 1 species